AUUGAACGCUGGCGGCAUGCCUUACACAUGCAAGUCGAACGGCAGCACGGGAGCAAUCCUGGUGGCGAGUGGCGAACGGGUGAGUAAUAUAUCGGAACGUGCCCAGUCGUGGGGAUAACGUAGCGAAAGCUACGCUAAUACCGCAUACGAUCUAUGGAUGAAAGCGGGGGGAUCGCAAGACCUCGCGCGAUUGGAGCGGCCGAUAUCAGAUUAGGUAGUUGGUGAGGUAAAGGCUCACCAAGCCGACGAUCUGUAGCUGGUCUGAGAGGACGACCAGCCACACUGGGACUGAGACACGGCCCAGACUCCUACGGGAGGCAGCAGUGGGGAAUUUUGGACAAUGGGCGAAAGCCUGAUCCAGCCAUGCCGCGU
rnacentral:rRNA from 1 species